UUUCCGUAGGUGAACCUGCGGAAGGAUCAUUAUUGUAUAACCGAGGUGCGAGGGCUGUCGCUGACCCGAAAGGUCGUGCACGCCCGAGUGCCCUCACACACAUCCAUCUCACCCCUAUGUGCACCACCGCGUGGGUCCCCCUUUGGCUUGUUCGGAGGGGGGCUUACGUUUUACACACAAACUUUGUAUGCAGUGUAGAAUGUAUUUUUUGUUUUUGCGAUCACGCAAUCAAUACAACUUUCAACAACGGAUCUCUUGGCUCUC
rnacentral:misc_RNA from 1 species